rnacentral:rRNA from 1 species
UAAAGCUACAAAGAGCUAAUGGGGAAUGCCUUGGUACUGACAGCCGACGAAGGACGUGUAAAGCUGCGAUAAGCCACGGGGAACUGCUAAAAGGUCUUGAUCCGUGGAAAUCCGAAUGGGGAAACCCUCCAGAGUUAAAACUUUGGAACCCGUAACUGAAUACAUAGGUUGCGCGGAGGAAAGCCUGUGAACUGAAACAUCUUAGUAACAGGACGAAGAGAAAAUAACCCAAUGAUUCCGAGAGUAGCGGCGAGCGAAAUUGGAAGAGCCUAAAUUGUGUGUACGUGAUAGCCUGCAAGCGUUGUGCACAUGAGGUUGUGGGACUUGCAUCAUAUUUUGCAGAAUAUGGAUUGAGUUACAAAAUUAUUUAUUAGUUAAAGUCAACUGGGAAGUUGCGCCAUAGAGAGUGAUAGCCUCGUAAACGACAAUAAAUAAUCUCAAGUAAGUAUCCCGAGUAAGGCGGGGCACGUGAAACCCUGUCUGAAUCCACCGGGACCAUCCGGUAAGGCUAAAUACUAGUCAGUGACCGAUAGUGAACGAGUACAGUGAUGGAAAGGCGAAAAGAACAGUGAGAAGCUGAGUGAAAUAGACCCUGAAACCGUUAGCUUACAACCAGUCAGAGCACAAUUAAUUGUGUGAUGGCGUGCCUGUUGAAGAAUGAGCCGGCGAGUUAUUUUUUGUUGCGAGGUUAAGGAGAUCAUAUCCGGAGCCACAGGGAAACCGAGUCUGAAUAGGGCGUUAAGUAACAGGAAAUAGACCCGAACCUUGGUGAUCUAACCUUGACCAGGAUGAAGCGUGGGUAACACUACGUGGAGGUCCGAACCAACCGAUGUUGAAAAAUCGGUGGAUGAGUUGAGGUUAGGGGUGAAAUGCCAAUCGAACCAAGAGCUAGCUGGUUCUCCCCGAAAUGCGUUUAGGCACAGCGUUGGAUUUAUCUUGCAGGAGGUAGAGCACUGGUUUUGUGCGGGCGUCGAAAUGAUGUACCAAACAAUGUCAAACUCCGAAUACCUGUAAUGUCAUUAUCCAGCAGUGAGGCUAUGAGUGAUAAGAUCCAUGGCCAAGAGGGAAACAGCCCAGAACGCCAGUUAAGGUCCCUAAUAUAUGCUAAGUGGUUAAGGAGGUAGAGUUACUGAGACAACCAGGAGGUUGGCUUAGAAGCAGCCAUCCCUUGAAAGAGUGCGUAAUAGCUCACUGGUCAAGUGACUCCGCGCCGAAAAUACACCGGGACUAAAGCAUAUAACCGAAGCUGCGUCAUAUAGUUUACUAUAUGGGUAGGGGAGCGUACUGUAGUAAGACGAAGCUAGAGUGAAAACACUAGUGGAUGAGGCAGUAGUGAGAAUGUCGGCAUAAGUAGCGAAAACAUUGGUGAGAAUCCAAUGCACCGAAAACCUAAGGUUUCCCACGGCAGGCUCGUCCGCGUGGGGUUAGUCGGAUCCUAAGCUCAGGCCAAACGGCGUAGGCGAUGGACAAUAGGUUGAUAUUCCUAUACUAUCUGAUAAUCGUUAUCAGAAGCGGAGGGACGCAAGAGGAUAAGCACGCAGUCGACUGGAAGAGACUGUAUAAGCGUGUAGCUAGGUUUGACAGGAAAAUCCGUCAAAUCGUUAAUGUGAGGCGUGAUGUGGAGAGUCUACGGACUCGAAGGUGUUGACUCCAAAUUGCCAAGAAAAUCUUCGCUCUCGAGAUUAUUGGGUAUCCGUACCGUAAACCGCCACAGGUAGGUUGGUAGAAAAUACUAAGGUGCGCGAGACAACUCUCGCUAAGGAACUCGGCAAAAUCACCUCGUAACUUCGGGAGAAGAGGUACCCUGGUAGCGUGAAGCGAUUUACUCGUGAAGCGUGAUAGGGUCGCAGUGAAUAGGCCCAAGCGACUGUUUACCAAAAACACAGGUCUCUGCUAAGUCGAUCAAGACGAUGUAUAGGGGCUGACGCCUGCCCGGUGUCGGAAGGUUACGCGGAAAUGUUAGAAGCAAUUCAAAGCAUCGAAGCUAAGCCCCGAUGACCGGCGGCCGUAACUAUAACGGUCCUAAGGUAGCGAAAUUCCUUGUCAGGUAAGUU